CUACGGGAGGCUGCAGUGGGGAAUAUUGCACAAUGGGGGGAACCCUGAUGCAGCAACGCCGCGUGAGUGAUGAAGGUCUUCGGAUUGUAAAGCUCUGUCUUUAGGGACGAUAAUGACGGUACCUAAGGAGGAAGCCACGGCUAACUACGUGCCAGCAGCCGCGGUAAUACGUAGGUGGCAAGCGUUGUCCGGAUUUACUGGGCGUAAAGGGAGCGUAGGUGGAUUUUUAAGUGGGAUGUGAAAUACCCGGGCUUAACCUGGGUGCUGCAUUCCAAACUGGAAGUCUAGAGUACAGGAGGGGAAAGCGGAAUUCCUAGUGUAGCGGUGAAAUGCGUAGAGAUUAGGAAGAACACCAGUGGCGAAGGCGGCUUUCUGGACUGUAACUGACACUGAGGCUCGAAAGCGUGGGGAGCAAACAGGAUUAGAUACCCCAGUAGUC
rnacentral:rRNA from 1 species